rnacentral:rRNA from 1 species
GACGAACGCUGGCGGCGUGCCUAAUACAUGCAAGUAGGACGCAGUUGCGAACGGGUGAGUAACGCGUAGGUAACUGGCUAUGAGAGGGGGAUAACAAUGGGAAACGAUAGCUAAUACCGCAUACUAGUAGAUUGACCUGCGUUGUGUGAGAUAGUAGGUAGGGGAAUGGGCUACCUAGGCGACGAUACACAGCCGAGCUGGGAGGGUGAUCGGCCACACCGGGACUUAGACACGGGCCAGACCCCUUCGGGAGGCAGCAGUAGGGAAUCUUCGGCAAUGGGGGGAAACCCGACCGAGCAACGCCGCGUGAGUGAAGAAGGUUUUCGGAGCGUAAAGCUCUGUUGUUAAGGAAGCGGUACUUAACCAGAAAGGGCCGGCUAACUACGUGCCAGCAGCCGCGGUAAUAC